rnacentral:lncRNA from 1 species
CUGGAAAGGUGGACCCGCUUCCUGACCAGCGCUUGCCCCCCUCGUUCUCCCCCCUGGGUGCGUGUGUGCGUACCCCUCCCGGCGGCUGACCCCAACCCAGGGCUGACCCUUGGGAAGGAGGGGAUCUAGAGAGGGGACAGCCCCAUUUCGCACCCAGGUGUGCUGCAAUCCGGGCGGGUUGGGUCCCUUCUCCUUAACCCCCGCCUCGCCAGCCGCCGCCGGCGCUCCCCGGAGCCCCGCUCCCCCCGCUCAGCCUCCGCUGCUCAGCCUCCGCUGUACCGCGCUGCCUGCCGCCUUCCUCCCCCCACCGCCCAGCCGCGAUGCAGCAGCAGGGAUGGAGUUGUAGUGGUGCUGGGCGGAGGGGGUGAGAGAUUGGCUAUAAGGAGAAGGCUGACGGCUGCAGCAUGAAGCGCAUUAUUACCUUGUGAUUCCAUGACCCUCCUCUAUGCAUCCCUAACUCUCGAAAGCUGAUUCAGCUUUCAGCUAGUGCUCUGGUGAGUCCUCUGCUGCAACAGAAGCUCCUAACUGGUCCUCCCUAUUUCUUAGCUUGAAGAAAGCCUCUUCUCCUUCGCUCUCCAUAGAGCAGAGCUGCAGGUUCUGUGCUGAAGCGAGGCGCGAUGCUCGGCUGUGCCCAUCCGUCCCGCAAAGCGCGCACUGAGCGGUCCCACCAGCAGAAACGGGAGCUCUGAGGACUGUAAAAGCCAUAAAUCCAGUGGACCAAAUUAGUUACGUUUUCCUAUUCUAUGCCUCACAAAACCCAUCCGUUCUUGAGAUGAAUUUUCUGCACAUAAGAGGAACUACGGGCAGGUAUAGAAUGGGAAUUUUGCACACGCGCAUGGGAGCACGGGGAUGAAUUCGUGCUGUGUGUUUUCCCCUGAAUUAUUUUUUUCCCUUUCAUGUGUUUAUGUUGAUGAGCUAUUAUUACUUUUGUUGCUAUUACUUAAUACUGGAAGACAGGUGGUCCAAUAAAUCCCAGCACUCUUCUUUUGUAAAAAAAAAAAAAAAAAGGGGGGGGGGGGCAUAUUUGCAAUUCAAGUUUAAUAGUGCAUUCAUCAAGAGCAAUAAAGCAUUCAUUUUAUUGCACGAGUAUUUCAAGGGAUGUGCUGGCCCUGGUGAAAGCAUUAGUAAAGGGGUGCAUCAGCAAUCUCAUUUAAAACUGUCGACCCAAUGUGAAAAAUGUUGCGUUGAAGAAUAAACUGCUAUUAAGCAUGAUUAGAUUGACCUGCAGGACAGAUAUUUUAGCUGCUGCAGCACAAGUCGAUCAAAGUGAGCAUCGCUUAGAUUGCAAAUUUUUUUUUUUUUAAUGCCCUAAAUUAAAAAUGAAAGAGCCUCAGAAUAUUUAGGACCAGAGAGUGACUUUGGGGGUGAGAUUUGUGUGUUUGAUUUGAGGAGGUUUGGAAAGGUGGAGAACGGGGGGAAAACAUAUUAAUUGCUGCCCCUUUAGCAUACAUUGAAAGUAUGUUACUCGGAUCAACCAAUCAAAAAAGAAAUUGUGCUGACUCAGCAUUCGGGCUAGUCUGCACGUCCGAUUGCAGAAGAGAUCAGCACUGCACUGCAGUAUCUUUCCCUGCCUUUGACACCAGCCUAGCUGGGCAGGGCUUCCCUUGUGCUUCCCAGGACUGGGUUAGGCCAAGAACAAGAGCGGGCUCUGAAGAAUCGAGGAGAGAGACAAGGUUGCAGGAGCCUUGAGCUGCUCCGAGGCUUUUUAGUCUGUAAGCAAGAGCUUCCAUGCUAGGUUUGCCCUGCCAGAUGCGAGCGGCAUGUAUUGCUUGGGAAUAUAUCUAUUUUUAAAGAGUUUCACCACAUCUUGCACUUCACGGUGGCUGUGGGCGAGGGGGUGGUGUGUUCCUUGCAAGAGAAAUAUCCUCGCUCCGGAGCUCGCAUCCCUCCCCUGAAAGCCGGGCGCUGAUUUCAGCGAUUCCCUCCCAGUGAAGGCGCUCAGUUUAGCGCUUUCUGCUGAAGUUGCUCUUGACCUGAAGCCAUCAUGCAGCAAGAUGCUUCCCUGUUGGGAUGCAGGGUCAUGGCGAGUGCAGCUCAUUGCACCGCCUGCUUGCUGGGCUGCAGGCAGCUAUGCUGCUCCCCUGCCUUGCAUUCCCCCAGAGGGAGGGGGCUGCUCAUGUAGAGAUGCUGAAGCCAUUGCAGGGAUAGGACUGGAGAAGGUCUUGGUGCAAUUACCCAAGAACAAGCUCAUUCUGAGUGUGUAAUGGCCAAAAUGCAAAGUCUUGUGCAGCCUCCUCAACAGGCAGAGCUCCAAGCCGCCUGCCUCCUCUGACACCCUGUAAUUCUCCAAAGGAGAUUCUGCUCACACUGUGUAAGCAGUGUCAGCAUUCACCCUUGCUUUGAGCUUGCAUUUCUUGCAUAGAGGUCUGUAUGAAGGAACAGAGGCCAAUAGCCAUGUGCACGGGUGGAAGGUUGUCAGAGGACAGACACACUUGGAAUAAGAGGCAAGUUUAUAGUGAAGCUUUUAGCAGUUGGAGCAGUUUUGGUGGUGCUCAGGAUGCUUUGAUGGAAACAGGGUGCCUGACAUCUUAAAACAGAUGCAGCUUUUCCUUUUUUCCCUCUUUUUUUUUUCUUUCUUCUCUUCUCGAAGCACAGCACUCUGCCUGUGCCAUGUCCAGAUAUGGCCUGCGCUGGGAUGGGAGCUGCUAGCUAAAAAAGCCACAGGCAGCCCAGCGGGACCAGCAGCAGCUGGUAUAAAUAGUGCUCAUUCUCAGCUGCCCCUCUGCCGGGCCGGAUUAGGUGGCAUCUGGGCAGCCAGGGGCUCGUGACCACCGGCUGCAGAAGUCCCCAAGCAGCUGUGAGGGCAGGAGCCGUCCCUGCAAAGCCCUUACAUAGGCACGUCGACCCUGGCAUUUGGGGGGUCGGGUAAAGCUACCGGAGCAGGAAUCCGGUGACCUAAGAAUGAUCAGGAAUAAAUUUCAUCGCGGCAUCCAGGCAGAGCUUCCAAUCUGGGACAUGGCCCAAGGUUGGAGGCAGGAUCUGGCCUUCUGCUUUUUACCCCAUUGCAUGCAUGUGGAAUCUGCAGGGAUGGUGAAGCAUUGCUCAGAGUGGCCAAGAUGCGGUUGCGUCCCCCUCUAGGACACAAUGAGUUAAUUUACUGUCAGUGAGAUUAUUGGAAUCUGAUUUAAUACUUGUGUUUACUUCAGGUCAACAAAUUAAAAAAAAAAACAAACCAACACCACAACAAAGCUUAAUAAUUUAAGGCACCAGCUUGAUGGAGGCUAAUAGAAAAUAAUGCAUCUCGUGCAGAGAUUUCCAUCCCAAGCUUGCAGAGCAUGCAGUGUGUGCCCCUCCUGCCAUGCCUGCAGUCAAUGCCAUGGGAAGGGGCGGUGUGGUGCCUGGAGGCAGCUCAUGAUGUAUGGAAGUAAAAAAAUUGAGCAGUGAAUGGGAUUGGUUUGACUGAGUGGAGAUAAACGCGCAGGCAGUAGCUGAAAUGUGAUGUGCGUAGUGGGGGAUGUGGGAUAAAACUCUGUUGGCAUCACAGGUCAGAGUAGAGAGGGUCUGCUGGCGGGCAGGUGAUGCAUGGGUGGGCACAGGUGAUACUCAGCGUAUGAGUAAAGGUUGUUGCAGAGUGUGUUGGGGAUGGUCCCAAAGUGACCACAGUCUGGGUAGGAGAUGCCUGGAGCCUUCAGGUGCACUGGGAGAUGCGGCACUACUCGCAGGGUGAGAUGGCAGUUCCUUAGUGGGGAAUGGCUUCACCGCUAAAUCAGUGCCGGAGCUUUGUCCCUUCCCUUCCUUGCCGUGUCAGGGCUCUGAGCCACACCAGGUUGUGUUCUUUAAUUUAAGCUUUGUCCUAAAGCCUUGUCUCAGAGAUAAUAAGACGCACACACAUACGCACCCACUAAAAUCCAUUGUGCCAUUUUUGCAAAGAACAGCAGAAGCUGCCCGUGUACCUUCCCCUCUCUGUCCUCCACACUCAUUUGGCCUAUUUGAAGUGGAAUUUAUUCCUGGGAAGGUCCCCAUCAAUUUGCCUUGCUCUUUUGUUGACAAGUUUAUUAAAAACCUGGGCAACUCCAUAUUAAACUUUUAUCAGUGUCGAGGAAGAAUACGUCCUUAGAGCGGCCACAAAAGUUAUGGAUUGGAUCUGAACAUUUCUUGUUCCACUGUCCAGCUGAGUCAGCUUAACAAAUAAAAGCUGCCACCUCCAUUUUUUUCCCUUCCUCAAGAGACAGUUCCCUUUCCCGUGUAAGUAACAGCAGCAAUAACACAAGGAGGUUUCAGGGCCGGGCAAACAGGAGCUUUUCUUUGCACCCACCAGUCCUUACUGCUGAUUAGAAUAAUAAUAUUAACAGAAAACAGGAAUAAAAUAAGAGCCCUGCCGGUAGUUAUAGCUUCUUACCUCUGAGCUAAUUGUUUGUGUAAAGUAAUCUCUACUUUAUAGACAAAUAUAUGAAAAAAAUACCCCCCAAAGUUAAUAUGGGUUGUACUGAGAGCAACGUGAGUAGUUUCACAUUUCCAUACCCUGCAAGGGCACGGAGGGUUGGCAGCGCGGCCGGCGGCAAUACUCGGUUGGGGAUGUGCGGAACCGUCGCUCUUAUUCCUUUAGUUGUAAGAUUAAACCAAGAGGAGGCCAACGUGUUGCAGGGGAGAUGUUAAAAAUAAAGCGCUGGCAUCGCAUAACCUAGUUCCUGUUUUGCCUUGCAAUGGAGUUUUUAUGAGUUGAAAGAAACCGGCGAAACAAUCGGUGAGACGGAUUUUGAGCUGCCAGAACGGAGACAGGCAGGGGAGAAGUGAACCGAGUGGUGGCUCUUAACCUCUGCCAGAUAAAUAAAUAAAUAUCUGUCCCCAAACAACAUAUUUCUUGGCCUGUCACCGCGUCCAAGGAUUUUUUAGUUCUUAAACAGGUUUGCUGGCAUAAUUUGUCAAGUACAACAGGGAGGUUUCCGUGUGACAGAGGAUCAUUUUUCACCGCGCACGGUGGGGCACCGAAACAGUCCUGCAGGCUCAGAGCAGCUCCAUAAUUAGAUAACAGUUAACAUACGUGUAUUAGAGGGAUCAUCCUUCAUGCUAUGGGGCACAGCAGAGCCUGCCACUGCCGAUACCGUGCUGUGCCGAAAGCAGGCAGGGAGCGGGCCGGACAAAUGCAUCUUACUCCAGGAGUUUAUCUGCAUCACCAUUUGCUCCAAUUAUAACUAAUUGGACACAUAUUGCAUUUUCAUAGCAUCUAAUUUUCUAUUGAUUUUAACGGGACUGAUGGUGUUUUGUACUGUUAAGUGGUAUCUCGUACCCGUUGUUGUUUAAAAAUGCUGAGUACACUCCCCUGUAUGGAAUUAUGCAGUCAGCAGAUGUUUUAAAACCUCUUUAAUUGUUCGGUCCAUAAAAUGCACAAAGUGUAUUAGGGAACAGCUUUGUUCUCUUUGAGUGUGUGAGUUUAAAAAUCCAAACUCCAAACUAUUUCUGCUGCCAGUUCCAGGAGCUGCAGCUCUCGGCGGGCAGCCCUGUCCCAGGGGUGGGCUCCCUGCUGCAAUGGAUGCUCCGCAGUUCUUAGGCUGUGUAUGAAGCAGGACCUUCAGCUCCAGGGUGAAAUUUGGAUUAAGACGAAGAUGUUCAUAUUGAGAGUCAAGAUUUUGAUAAGGUCACUUGUGGUCUCCUGUAUAACUAAGGAAUAAGCUGGUAAUUGGUAGGAUUUGGGGUUAUAUUCUCUGUUAUAGAUCUUGCUCUCUGUCUCGACAGUACGUCCAAAUAAAACCGGACUAUCAAAUUAGCCACUGCAUUUCAGCAAAUACUCAGUGAAGCAGGAUGAAAGCAAUAGUCCUCUGUUCAGCAUCAUUUAAAGAAGAAAAGAUUUAAAUGAGAUAUGUAGUGGAGGAGCAGAGAGGCAGCCGGGAAAAAGCUUUCCUAGCAUUGAUCAUUACAAGCAUGGUGGAGAUUUGAACGCUUCGGAUAUUGGCAUAUGAGGAAGAAGGUUUUUAUGCUGAGGGCGGUGAAGCACUGGCACAGGUUGCCCAGAGAGGUGCCCCAUCCCUGGAGACACCCAAGGUCAGGCUGGAGGGGCUCUGAGCACUGAUGGAGCUGUGGGUUUCCCUGCUCAUUGCGGGGGGUUGGACCAGAUGGGCUUUAAAGGUCUCUUCCAAAUCAAGCCAUUCUGUGACCCUGUGAUUAAAGGUAGAUAGGGCAGGCAAUAGGAUAUGGGAAUUGUUCUGCCUGGGGUGCCUGUGGGCUGCCAUCAACCCGCUGCCUUCUCCAGCCAUUAGCAAGAAUUGCAUCAUGUUGGUGGGAGACAGGUGGGAUCAUGGAGGUGUAUAAACUAAAUAGACACUUUAUUAAGUUCAGGUAAUAGUUUUGAAAGACUGAGUGGCUACUGCACUGUCAGCAGCUCCUUUAGUGCCCAUAGGAACUGAGUGCUUUUUAAUUAAGUCAAAUAAAAUCCAAGCGGAAGACUUCCCAGCCUUGGCUGAAGCAUAUUUUUUGGGUUGAAUACCUAUAAUUUUAGAAAUGUUAAUAAAACACAGUCCACUUUUUCCCCUGUAAUAAUAUAAAUUAAAUUAAUAUUUUAUGUCUGUAAGAAAAAGGAUAAAAGCACCGAGGUUGUAUUUUCUGGCUUACAAAUGGCACAUUGUGCAGAAUACAGCAACUGUGGCAUUGAUUUAAACAUCCUCGCAAAGACACCAUGCAAUAAAGUUGAAUCAUCUGCAGUACAAGUAUGGCUGUUUGGGGGAAAAAUAGCCAAAUGAGAGAGCAGACGUUUUCCUGUAUUAUCAAAAGCCACUUCAUUUUGGGGAAAAUUCCUCAGAUUUAGUGACAUUUGGAUGGAAAUCAAAUAACACAUUAACUUGAGGAAAGGGAAAAAAACCUUCCAAAGCUAAUUACAGAGGGAAUGUGCACUUCAUUAAGAUAAAGCUGUAAGAAAUCAAUGUUCUGUAUUGUUGUUUUUUCCUUUUGAUUGGAUUUUAGCAUGAUAAAUUGUUAAUGCAUUUGAUCUAAAAAUGAUUUGUUUAUUCAGAUGAAGAGCAACAGUACUUUGUCUCAUUUGGCCUUUUAGCUUAUAAUGAUAAUGAUUUCAAGAGAUGUUCAUUUCUCAAAAGGGUAUUGGACUGGAAUAAGCAGGAGAUUUCUGGACUCAGAAGGAUGGGCCCUACACAAGGGUUCCUUGUAGGCUAAUUCUAUUGCAUGUUGAAUCUUCUGCUUCAUUAGGAAUAUCGACAAAUGUUGAUAAAUUCUUUGGCUAUUCUGUGCUGUCUAUAUAAAACAUCUUCAUUAGAAUGUUGAGGCUAAAGCACAAAGGUCUUCAUUGCCCCAGGUUCUCUUAUGUUGCCCACUUUUGGCCCCACUUGCCAUGGCAGUGCUUUGAUAACACAGGGAUCUGGCUGCUCUCAGAAGUGUAAUCAUGAACUGCAAAGCUGACACUUAGACCAAAAGCAAAACCGAGGCAUUACACAGUGACUGGCAGAGAGGGGAAUGAGAUGCACAGCUUUAUUUUGCUAUUUUGCCUUGGAUUUGCUUCAGAGAUGUGUUCCUAUAUCUCCCCAGUGCCAUUCCACUAUGUGGCCAUUCCUGGCUGGGGCGGUGUCGGUCCCAUGGGCAGGGUCCUAGGGACAGAGCGACCAGAAAGGACCUUCCCAGUGAGACCCAAUUCCAAGCACUGCUGGGAGGAAACAACUGGAUGAGGAUGACCUUCAGACAGCAAACCUAAAUUUGGUGGCGCUGGGUCGCCCGGUCCUUGAACCUGGGAGGGCAAUAGGAAGGGCAGCUUACAGUACUGGGGCUGGGCAGUUAAGUGAUCUGCACUACUUACUGUUACAAUGCAAAGCCUGGAUUUCUUGGGGACCAGCAAUACCGGCCCACAUGCAAUAUCUCUGCAUGCAGUGCCUUUCAGCACAGGUGCUUUUUUCUCGGUGUCAUGUCGUGGUGUGUGCGGUGGGCUGUGAGGGAGAGGGGGGAAAAAGUCACCUUUGCCUCGCGAUGCAUGUAAAUUCUUUAAAUAGGUUACGCACGUGGCGAUGUGCAAUAUCUGCGCGUGGCGCUGGGUUACGAAGGAGAGGUCUGGCUUUAUUGGCUCCUGCUGCUGUGAUUUAAAAAUCUGAUUUACUGAGUUAUUGGGAGCAGUGGGUGCUCACAGCGUGGGGCUCUCCGGGAGCUGCAGGCUGAGCCCUUGCAGAGGAUGGGGCUGGGAGGCUGCAGGGCUGCUCCGCUUUCUCUUCCACUCAACGCCCUCCCGAUGGUGGUAAAUACAGUCCUUGCUUGUCUUCAACAGAUCUGAAAGCCAUGGAAAGCACUGAUUUUAAAGGUAGAUGAGAAAACUUGAGUUACCAGAAUGCAGGGCACGGGUGGGGAUAGCAGACAAAAGAUCUGAAAGAAAGAAGGCUGGAGGUGGCAAUUAAAUGACCUGGAUUAGGACACUACUCAGUCACACUGUGGUAGCAAUGCAGCUUCAAAACAGAGCCAAACACCGGGUUUAAAAGGCUACAGGCAGGCACUGAGUGCUGCAGACUGUUCCACUGCUUUUAAAACUGCCUCUUUAAUUCAGACUCGCUCUUCAGCCAAAGCUGCUAAGAAGCUUAAAUAAAUCCUGAAUGCCUGAAAGCGAAGCCAUGUGAACCCGUGCAACGUCAGGCAGCAAGUUCAGAAGAGGUCCUGGCGACUGUGAAGGAAAAGGCCCUGAGGAGUUCCCCUCUUUGCUUUGCAGAGCGUGAGGCCAAAUGCUUUGCUAAAGCUGGUAAAAUGGAACCAAAUCAACUGUUCAAUGGAUUUGGUCCCCUUCAACCAGCUGUAGCUGUGCAUUGAUCUCUCAGACGCACCUCGGAGGCUGACCCGGACAGCAGAAGAAAUGGGCACGUGAGAGGGGCCAAGGAGGGAUGCUGAUGGCUGGCGUCUGCAGAUCUGUCACCCGGGCUCUAAACUGGUGGGCUGAGCCCGAGCCAUUAUGUGGCUGCCAGUCAAUUCUGUGUAACGGAGACCACUCAAGAUUGAUAAUCUCUAUCGUCCUCCUGUAUUGAUCCCAGCUGUGAUUCAGGUCUGUGUAUUUCAAGUGCAAAUGCUGUACGUUUUACGUGUGAUUGCUCAGACACCUCCCCCCCAGGAGCCUCGUGCCUGUGUUUCAUCCGCUGCAAUGAAGAAUAAACGUUUUGAUCUGAAGUUCCCUCCUUGUGUUUUGUUCCAUGCGCUGAGCUGCUCACGAAAUGGGAAUUCUGGGGCUGGCAAGGCAGGGAAUGGGGUGGAAGCACCUGCUGCUUCCCAGCUGCCCCAAACUGGCCAGCAAUAUUGGGUGAUUUGAGAGAUAAUAGCUUUGUUCCAAAAAAAGUCUCCAUUUGAAUGUGUUGGGCUUAUGUUUCUAAAGACCUGUGAAGUGUCUGCUGGUCUAAUCCUCAUAAGCACAAAUAUUAUGCUAAUGGACUUAAAGAAAAUCACUGGUUUUCCCCAUGUCAUAAUGAUUGUUGGGAAAGGACGUUGGGCAUCAUCUCUUCCUAAGUACUGUAAAUCUAUAGGACUAUCACAAGCUAUUACUGCUGGUAUAAUGAGCCAUUUGGAUGCAUAAGUCUGAUAUGAGAUUGCUCACAUCUUUACUUUUUAAAGAUACCUGGCCCAGGAUAACCCCUGGCAUUAGAGGAGGCAGACAUUUCUCUCUUUUCUUAUGUAGGAAACUGGGUCGCCUGACUCCAGGUCCCCAGUCCCUCAGGUACCGGUUAAAUGUUCUUAAUAGUAUCAGGAGUAUUCACAUGCUUUAAGAGAUGGAGCUAUUUGCUAGAUUUGAGGUUUAACGUGCGUCUAAUUUUUAUGUCACUGAGUGUUUUAAAGACAAAGACAUGAGGAGCAGUGGAGCUGCAGGAGCAUCCCUCCUCAGCUAAAAGGAAACCCAUGCUUUCCUCUGUAGCUCAUUUUUCUCACCUUAAGUGUCAAAGCGUCUAUGCUGAAGUCCUACUGAAAUCCAAAUAGUGGUUUGGUUGUUGUUGUUUGUUUUUUUUCCAUGUAUUCCGUUAGAUCAGGCAAAUACCUGGUACUUUUUCCUGAGAACAAGUUGGGGUUGAGGAGCAUGUGCAGAGCUGAGGGCUCAGGUCUCCAGCUCUCCCCUUUGGGAAGCAGUAAUCGCUUCUCACACUGAAAAGAAUGCUUGGGUGUCAAAAGUUCCCUCAGAGUGAACAGCAUACACUGAGAAUACCUUCCAUGCUGAAAUCCCCUCUUGCUGCAGCCUGGGCAGUGAUGACAGAUAAGUUUCUAGGGAGCUUCUGGGAAGAUAAGUUGUUUGUUCUGUUAUUUUCUUCUUUUCCUGUGGUUCAUCAAUCUCUUAGUGUAAAUAUGUCGGGGAGGAGAAGCAGUUGUAUCAGCACUGAUCAGGUAUAUUUGCUGCAUUCGUUCUGAAAAAUGCAUAAGUGGGAAGCUGUGCAUGAACUGUUGGAGGAGGAUGUUCUCCUUCACACCACCCUGGAAAUAUAUAAAAGAAAUAAUAAUUAUUAUUUUUUUUUUUCCAAAAAUGCAACGUCUCUACAAACACCCACCAGUGCAUCCAGAAGGGCUUUAUCCUUGUCUAAUAGGAGAUGCCCAAGCCCUUACAACAUGAAGUUGCAAAUAUUUUAGCCUGUAAACAGAGGAAAGUGAGUAGCUCCAAUGAAUCCCUGCAGCAUCAUGGGGCAAAUUGACAUCCAUGCGCAGGAAGGAUGCUUGUAGCUUUACAGCCACAGCACGUGGCAAAAUAGCCAAUGGUCACCACCUCUGCAGCUGCAAGCUGCAGGCACGCAUUUUUGCACACUCCUUUCCCUGCCAAUUGUUUGCUUUGUAAUCAACAGUGCUGGUUUCUGGGCAUUAUCCAAUCCCACCCCCUAAUUUUGCAUCAAGUGAAAGCAUCAGUGAAGACAGGAAUGAGCGUGCAUGCAGAAUCGCUGUGCAAAUGCCACCCUAAAGCUCUUGCUGCCAAACCCAAGAUUCAUAAGCAAGGAAGGAUGGGGAUGAAAGCACUGGGGAAAGGAAUCUCCAGCACAAACAGGCAGUUUGGGCUGUGGGUGAUACUGGGACAGGUUGAGUAGAACCGGGUGCUUCCAGCAGGCUGUGGCUUGGCUUUCCAAAAUAGCAUGCUCCCCACUCCUGCAGUCUGGGUUAUUCUCCCUCACUCCCCAAGGCUGCAUUCGGUGUAAACAGCACCUUUAUUAAAAUUCUUCCUUCGGAAUGUUAAUUAAAUUACUAAAAAAUGACAAAUGGGGAAGCUGAAGACAUCACAACUGGAACAAAACCACGGAAUGUAACUGAAAAGGUUUUCUCCUGGUGAAGCAUGGGUGGACAAGGGCUCACCUGCUGCAGCAGCUCAGGGUGAUUUCUUUUAAUGGGGCUCCCAGGCUUUGGCUGUUGGCAUCUACACAGAUCCCAGGCACAUGUUCCUCUGCAGGAAAUACUGAAAGCAUUUGUUGUCCCAGAAAUCCUCCCAGAAGAGUUCUGGAUAUAUAUGGGAACAGCGGUAUGCAUCCAUACAACAUGUUAUAUGGGAGUACAUGGCAUUUUAUCAUCUGAUGCAGUUGUUGUGCAAUGAUGUCACACUACUUUGAUCACUCUAUAAACCCGUGUGCCAAAACAUCACCUUGGUCUGUGUUUUGGUACCCCACAGCCAUCUGAGCACUGAAUAGUAGGAAGCUUCCAUUUCACUUGAAGCAAGAAGAUGGAUGUGGGGAUUUUAAAGUUGGGCCAUGUAUUUAGGAGCUUAAACAUGGAUCUCACCUUCAGACAUCUACGUUUGGAAAUUUCUGCAGAUGGCAUUGACAUAUAGCCUGGAGGGGCUAUCAGGGUACAAAGCUAAAGAUGGUUAAAGACAUUAAAAACUGUACAAUAUGAGCACCGUCUACACUGGGACCAUCACCUAGGAUGAAGAUUCACCCUGACGUAUUGGGCAGAAAGCAAACUGAGCUGAAGGUAUUUUCAAGAUACAUGAAAAAAAUAUAUAUAUUCCUGCUCCUAACCGUGUCUUUUCUAGUGGGUCUUUAUUGACUCUUUAAAAACUAUGACCAAUAAAUGUAAUGAUCUGCCUUCCUCUUUCUUCCUGGGUGAAUGAUGGCUCCUGCAGGGUGUUUAUCACUGAGUGUAAUGGCUGGUUGAUCAGUUCGUGUCCAACUCCACUUCCCAGCAAGCUAUUGAACGCCUCCUCCUUGUCACGGGGCCGCCAGCAUUUCCCCCAUCCUGCCAGAGCUUCUGUUAAGCCGUAUAAUAAAUAUUGCACUCAGAACAAGAUUGUAAAUCUUGCCAUAGGACAGAGGGUAUUUGCUUUUCUGCCUUUCUUGAGUUUCGUGUUGCCUAAGUUGCUGUAAUGUACUUAAGCAGAGAACAGACUUAAUGCUCUUGCUUUCUUUUUAAUAAGAUGCAUAGCUCAUUUAUCCAGUAGGUGCAGCUGGAGGGGAAGAGAACUGCAAAGAGGGGACUUCACCUGCUGGAAAAUAUUCUCUACUUCCCCCAAAAGUGAUGAAAAUGUCAAUACUAUUGACACAAUCACUAAUUAAAAACGACUGCCAUAAUCAUGCAUAUGACAGCCGUAGGACAUCAGUUUGGAUUAAAUGUGAGCAGCAAGUUGUGCUGCACAUGGUUUCCAAAAGCAGAAAGGGCUGGGUGAUGUUAUCUGCUGUUGGAUGUACAUCCAAGAGAGAGAAGGAUGCUCUUAAACAUAGUUGCUCUUCUUUGCACAGCCCUGGUGCUUGCAUGGCCUGAAUUCUUCGCAGCAAUGAGAAAAAAGUGCGUCUGUUUUUACUUCCUUGUCCAUGUUUACUUAUUUGACUGAGGUUUAAGCAGUGCCCUCUGCUCUGUACAUAGUGUGGGCACCCAAUGUGCAGGCAGCCAUCCCAGCAGCUCAGUGCUCGUGCAUUGCUCCCAUUGAGUUGUAGUGACACCUCAGGCUGGGUGUGCAUAGCCUUUCCUCUUUCUCUCAAGGAGUAAAAUCCUUUUAUUUAGGGGUUUUAGCAUGCAGACUUACAACAAAAAAUAUCUUGUCAAUGCCCCACUUGGAUUAUUUCCUUACGCAUCGGUCUAACCGGGUGAGAAAGAAUUCCCAUUUAAAUGCCUACGGUUCUUGCAUUAUGCCUGUGAUAUGAAUGCAUGCCCAGGCAUCUCAUCUACUCCAGGUCAUUGUCUUUAAUUGGACAAGACCAAAAAUAAACACUGCGACCUUCCACAUAGUCCCAGGGGCUCCAGGGUGGGAUGGAGCCUGUUGGUUCUUAUCUAAGCAGAAAUGUGAAUCACUAGGAAAGUGUAUGUGCCUUUUCAUGGUGUGGAGCAUGGACCAAUGAGCCCUAAACCUCAGGAAGGACAGAAAGAGGGCCAACCCUCUGAGUAGGGAGAGUUGUUAGUCUCAGACAGAAGGAGGACAGCAUUCAACAAUUGACACUUCCCAAAUCUAAUCAGCCUGACCCCAAAACUACCAUUGGAAAGGCUUACGAUAUGUGCCCGUCUCCAUUGUAUAGCAGAGGGAGGAGUGUAAAGCUGUCAAUAAAAACUUGAAAAAAAGAAAGAUUUUAAGAAACCAAGGAACAGAAAGAAUGUGUUAACUAAGAGUUGGGCAGAGUGCUUCCAUCCUAGUGGUGGUGGAAGAGCCAAAGGUUUCCCAGUGAUGCACUUUUUUCAUUUGAAACCCUUGGUUGUUCCACCCAGCGUGCAGUUUGACAUUGGGAGUUUUUUAUGUGGCAUGUUAGGAGGUCCUCAAGCAUGAACUAAUUGAUUCAUGAGUGGAUGAAUCCGAUGCAUCUUUUAAAUGGAAAACCGACAUCAUUCUCCAUCAGAGAUCCGCUAAUAAAGCACAUUUACUUGGUUAAUCCAUUUUUUUUUUUCUGUGCUAAGUGCACUGUAUAAGGUAUAAAAAUAUCAAAUCAAUAGGCAAAGAGUAUAUAAAAACAAGUGAGCAGUGUGAGCCACCCUUGGGUGGGCUCCUUGCAGGACCUGAGUUGGAUCCCACUCCCAACACUGCACAGAGCAGCGGGGCUGCAGUGCACAGCUGUCCCUAUGAGCCCCAGGGGACAGCGGGUGCAGAGCCACCUGCUUUGGGGCCUCGUGGCACCACACUGCUCCCUAUUUUAAGCAGUAACUGGGUUAAAGGUGUCGGGUUAAUCUCCUUCUCUCAUUUGCUAGGAUUAUGAUAUUUAUUAUAGCAGAAGGAGCAGAGAAGCAGGAAUGCGUAUGGAAGACAGAGGCAUCUUCCAGCUCAGCCUGCACAAAUUCCCAUUUUUUUUUAAUUUUUCCAGGGGAAUACAGCAGUAUUAUUUCAGAGCAAAUGCCUGCACAGCCCCGUCUCUGCAAACACCACUCGAUCAGUGCAACUCUCUGGUGUGAGCUCAUUUAACAAGCGGUUGCCUUGCAGGCUGUGGAGAAUUGCCUCUUACCUAAUAAUUCUGCUAAUUUGCUUAACUUUCCCAGAUUGCAAAUGGCCCUGCCCUGAACAAGCAGCUUUCUAAAUGAACCCCCAGACAAUUUCUUGACAAGAAGGGAUCGGAGAGGUGCCUGCUCGGGGAGCUGAAGCUCUCAGCCUUUUUAUUUCUGACCUUUGGGCUAGCAUUCAGAUUUGCUUGUUGGGAAAACUGCAUUCCAAGUGUAUUUUCUUCAGGGAUUUACAAUACCCUUCUGCUUGUAAUUAUUCUCACCUGAUGUCUUCCAUAAAUUAGUUAAAGAUGCUUCUAUUAGUGAGCUCCCGUCCUGUUAAUUAUCGUGCUGCAGUUCCUUGCUGGUGGCCGCUCUGCAGCACCGGGGCUGCAUCCGUGCAAAGCUCCCGGCCGAGAGAUCAGGGAUGUAGUGUGUGGGUAAUACAAACGUCUGAGCAAUCUGGGAAAGAAAUGAAAACUGCUGUAAAGGUAAAUGUCAGACUAUUUAAAGACAAUGUUGACUAUUGAUUUUUCGGACGAGACUACCUCUUCAAAGGAUGGCAAGCGUUCCUUCGGAUCCAGACGAGGUAACUUAGGUGGAGGGGAAAGAGGGGGAGGUGAGGGAGUGGGGAGGGCAGAGAUUUUCCCAGCGAGCAAAACGAAUGCUUUACAAAACCGCUGGGAUCAAAGAUGUGGGUUGGGCUUUCCACAAAAUCCACCUUUCAGCCCCUUUAAGCACCAUGCCUUUCCCAAGAAACAAAGGGCUGAGAGGUGCUUGGAAGCACUGAUGAAUAAUAACAAGAUGAGUAGCAAAAUACUCGUUUCACUGCAGCUUUCCAUUGAAAAAUGAAACUUCAGGCACUCUCAGUGACUACUGAUGUGGCAAACUCACCAAGCUCCCUGAUCCCAUCCACGCUUCCUGGCACAUCAGCGUUGCAUGGGAUGAUGAGCAGAAAGGGGGAAGCAAAGCCAUCGUUCUCUAUGUACCUACAACCCAAAAUCUUUUGGGGGAAAUUACAAUCAAACUGGCAAUUUUGGGGUCAUCCUUUCGAACUUUGGCUUCAUACGGUUUAAAGGAAAAUGAAGCCUGGAAUAAAAACUUUGUCUUUUUAAAAAUGAAGUGCAUGUGUACAUCUAUAUAAAAUACACACGUAUGUAUGCAAAGACAGGUUUGGUGGGGAUCCUGAGUGACUCUGUGGAAACAGCACGGCCACCUCAGGAGACACUGGUGUGACUCCGAGCCCUGGCACAUGGAAACCACUCGAAUCUGUAGUUAAAUCUAAAUGAAAAGCCUAUUACUCAUAAAUAAAGGGGGGCUGGGCUGCUGCAGUAGUUUAAAGCAGAAUUCUUCAUCGGUGUUGGAAUUUAAAGAUUGUAAAAUGCCACUUUGAGGCAUUAUGCAGUUGUGCAGAAACACUUCUUCUGCAGUGAAUUUAGUUCCAAGAACAGAUCUGGACCUAAGAGCUAUUACCUCUUUGUUUUAAGGUGCAAUCUGUCAUCCUGCAAGCUUCCUCGCAUGAAAAGUUUCGGGAUUGGGUAUUGAAAGGGCAUCAGCAAGAGCUGCAAAUAGCCUUAAGGUGAUCCAGGAGCAACUCCGCUCCCAGCAGCGGCUGCUUGGGUGAUGCUGGGCAGGAUCUGAGGUGGGGACACGGCAGGACAGAUCCUCCCUGCUCCCUGCCUUCCCCUCUAUGGUGUUUUUUGGGUGCUUGAGUUUUAAGAUCGCAAGAGAACUUCUUUGGCACUCAACCCAACUUGCAGAAAGCCCUGAGUCCGUGCAGGUCCUAAGGACUGCUGCCUGGGGUAACUUCUGGUUUCCACGCCUUAUUUCAACGUGGAGGUCUUCAGACAGCGUUAAAUGACAGAUGAUAGAAUUUCUGCAAGUGAUGUUCAUCUGAAUUUUAUUUUCUGAUGUUUUGACUCAUUGACUUGAUGUCUCUCUAUUAUGCACACACCUCUGGAGAUGUUACUGGCUAUGAUUAUGCGUGGCAUCGAGUUAGUGAAUAAAACCACUGCAGGAACUGCUUUACAGAUCACAGUAUCAUUUUCUCUAUAAUUGUCCCACAAACGGUGGAAGUUAUAUGGAGAGAGCAGCGUUCCCUGACAGACUGCAUAUUUUUGCAGCGUGCAUCAGAUCUCACUUUGGCUUCUGAGACUUAUUUCUGAUGGUUCUUGGGGAUUUAACUUUAAGACCAACGUUUUUUAGUAUCCAUAUACACUCCACUCUUCAUGUCAUCCAGCAGCACCAGAGGAUGAGCUGUCUCCUUAAUAUGGAUGAGAUACCAAUUUAUCUAAGUUAUCACCUCACUAUCUCUCAUUCAUCUCUGCUGUUAACUGCUGUGUUUCUGACAUCCAUACCUAAACAAUCAGCAACUUCUUCUCCUUUAAUUGAAACCAUAAGUAAUUUUUGGCUGGAAGUUCUUGUUGUGUGUGUAUAACGGCUUCUUCAUCUCCCAGCUGGAAUUCAGUGAUCCUGUGACUGAAUCAGGCUCUGGACACCUCAUUUUAAACCCACAACAUCACACAGACCCACUCAGCACAGUAAAUCAAAAGUCAGGGCAUCUUGCCACCAUCUGAAGAUAUAUGACCAAAUUAACAUGUCCCAAGCUCACUGCGAACAACACUUGCGGAUGGCCCAGGCGUUUGGCUGCAAAGUCAGCAAAGCUUUCCCCCUUCCUGAUACAUUCCCAGAACUGUGAAACUUAGCCCUACUCUUGGUAUUCUCUUUAUAGAGGGCCCCGGCUGUAUUAUGUAUCAAAUAAAGGUCUCAUUACUUAGUUCCUGGCUCCUUCGUGCCAUUGCUCUCAUUAAUCAUCCUGUUCUUCCAGCCCAUGCUGCAAGCCAUUGGGACUGCCUCAGUGUCCACCCCUGAAUUAAAGGCUUCAUUCCCAGACCCUCCAAGCUGGUGGUCUCCAUCCUUUCGUGACCCACUGGCAUACAGCCCCACAUUGCUGGGGGCACUUGGCCAUGAUGUCUGGAGUGCCAGUGCAAAGAAGUGGUCUUCCAAGUCUCAUCUAGGGGUCACCAGGGUGUUGCAAAGAGCACUGUGUUGUGCCUGCACUGAGAGACUCAACAAGGACACAAAAUGGAGAACAGAUUUGGUCGUGCCCCAAAUCUGUUAAUUUCACCCCCAAUCUCCUUCCAAAAAUCGUUGCCAAUUAUUGAGUACAGCAAAUGUACACCACCCACUUCUGUCCUGCUUGGUUUCACCCCCUGCACAGGGAGCACCCAAAUGAGCCCCACACUCUGUACUCCCCCCAGCAGAGCAGCACAGCUGCUUUCCUCUCUUCCUUGUGGUUCUCAGCAUAGAUCCCACGGGGUUUGCCACUUUCUGUGGGUAAUAUUUUUUUGCAGAAGCACAAACGACUCGCUCAGAGCCUUGGAAUCUAGCUCCCUUUGUGCUGAGGAUGAAAUGCAAAGAGGCAGAAAUGCAGUGGAGAGCAAACUUCUCUCAGCUGCAUGAUUUUACCAAAUCUGAUGGUUUAUUCAUUUUAAUUACCCUUGGAAUUCGUAUUUGUGUAUACAUAUACAUGAAUUCAUGUAAUAACAUGUAAUUAGUUUAGAGUUUGACAUUUCAGAACAGGUAAUUAAAAGAGUUUGUUGUUGAUUAAUCGCUUGCAAAAUAAAUUAUUAGCAGUAUCACCGUUAACGUUAUGUUUAUUACUACAAUUUGGAGAAAUUAAGGCAGUUCACUUACAUUAAAUUAAACACGAAGGCACAGAUGUAAUGUACCCUAGACAAUAUCUAUUUACCCAGAGAACGAAUGUGAUGUGUGCGUUACAAUACAUUUGCUAGGUCAUACAUCUCGGAUGGCCUCUGCGUGUCACCACCAGAAACUUAACACCGACGCACGGACACUUCCCAUUUCUUUCCAUACAUAGAAAAUUCGGGUAUGCCGGACCUCAACCCCUGCUCUGCACUGCAGCUCUGCGGGAUCUGCGGAUGCUGCAGGGUGCUCAGAGCUGCCUGGGGAGGAGGGAGCAGGCUGAGCAUAGGAGCUAGCAGGGGCAUGAGGGGCCAUGCCAAAUGCAAGCCCACAAAGCCUGCAUGUGGCAAAGAAAAUCAAUUUUUUACAUCCUCAGCAGACCCCCAGGCCAUUGUCAUGAACCAGAUUAUAGCCAAAGUGUGCAGAAACGGAAUAAAUCUCAGCACGACUCAAUGAGGUGCUAAAGGCUUAAGCAGAUUGGUUAAGUAUAAGUUGAAUUUGAUCUUUAAGCAACUGUGCACGGUCUCUACUGGGAUGCCGAGAGGUUUUGUCCUGUGAGGAGAUAAGGAGCCCUUGCUUUUGACAACUGUUUUGUCUGGAGGCCCUUCUGAUCCGAGUCUGAGAGAGCAAAGGCAAAAGUCAGUGGAGAUGAAAAGGAUGCUCUCUGGAUCUGUCCCUCUGUGGUUUUAUAGCUAUGGGAAAUAAUCUAUAAUUAGGUGUAUAAAACAGCUCUCUGAUCUCUUUGCUUCUGGCCCAAAAGAGCACAGAAUUGAUAACUCAAUUAUCUCUGCUGGAAAUACAAAUAAAUUACAAGCACGUGGUGGGAGGAACUCCAAUAAAGGGGCACCCGCACAGCACAACGGGCGCUGCUCUGCAGCUGUGGGACCUCAACGCUGCUGCUGGGGUGAGGCUGGAAGGCAGUGGGUGCUCUUUGCUGGGGACUCCUUGAGGCUGAAUAUCUCUCUGGAUGGUGGCAGCCACUGGCAAAAGCACUGGGGCAAAGAUGGAACCCUCCCAAAUGGACCCAGGAGAAAAGCCAGGGCAAAAGCUCACUGGAAGAGGAGACACUGUCCUGGAAGAGCGUGGCUUCUCAGAAAGGUGAUGAGCUCAGCUUGGGAAUGGGGUGAGAAAAGCAGGGCUGGGUUUAAACAGCUUUCCACAAAUGAGAAUAAUGAGUGAUUAUCCUUUUCCUGGCAAAUUCCUGGGAGUUUCCAUUUGGAAUUUACAACCGGAGCAGUGUAGGAUCUCAGGGGUCUCCUUCAUGUUCUGCCAAGCCAGCAGAGCCACCAUCCAGCAUCUACACCAACACCAACCCCUCUCCCCGCUGAGGCUCGUUUCUAAUGACUCCUGGGCUGAAUUAACAGUCUGUGCUUGUGUGACAAUGACAAUCAGCGCUAAUGACCACUCUGUUUGUCUAAUCCACAUGCUGAGCACUGAUUUCGGUCCCUGCCUCAGACUCCCUUUGCAAAAGAGUCUUUUUAAGCAAUUUAAAAUGUGCAGGAUGCACUGGGCUGUCCAUCCCUGCUCCUUUGAUAUUCUGCCGCCUGGAAGUGUCCUUGAGCCAACAGGCAGCACCUGUAGCGAGGUGUGCCCUAGGAUGAUGCAAAGAGCAAGAUGAGAAAAGCCUUUGCAUUUCAUAUCCUGUUCGGUCGACCUAUUCAGUAAUCAGGAAAAUUAUAUUUAAACAAUUUGCCCUUUGAUGCAAUCCAAGCGGCUCUGAAGGGCAAGUGCACUAUCACAGAAAGCUCCGUUUUUAUUCUGCAGCACACUUCGUGACCCCACGGGGAGUGUGUGGCAGUGCAGAUCCGUGGUUUAUUUAGAAAAGGAAAACAAAAGCACUCAACUGCCCCCGAAACCUUUGUGCCCCUUCCAAAAUGUCCCCCAAUUCACGAGGAGCGGGAAAACCAACCCAACUAUUUCCUCCUAUUCGCUCUGCCCAUUGGCAUGCAUUGCUUCACUGCUGGGGAGAAACAAGGUAGCACAAUAAUAUUCACUUUAUGGACUUGACUUUUUUAUUUAGGCAGCAGCAUCUCCCGUAAAGAAGCCUGGUGCACGUCAUCCUUCCUCCCUGCCCAUGGCAUGGGGCAGACGGUAGAGCAAUUCCAGCUGAAAGCUUUUAGCUCCUGUAACCGAUGAUUUAUAUUUGUGCUGUAAUAGCCAGAUACAGCAAUAAUAGUAAGGAUUUAAUUGUUUUAAUGAAAGUAGCUUUUUUUUUUCCUGCAUUCGAAUCAAUUUGCUAAGUUUGGAUGAUGGAACGUAAGAAUGGAUUUAGCUGCGCUUUCCGCACGCUCUGAACAAAAAGGCACAAGGCAUUUCAAAAGAACCAGCCUGACAUAUUAAAACUCUUAAUAAGUAAUAUCUGCAUAACUAAAGGCAAUAGGAGCAGUCCAACCUGAAGAAAAAAGGGCUUUACAGGAAUUAGCGUCUCAUUGUCACAUUUGUAAAAGGGACACAUGCAUUUUUCAGAUCUUUGCACAUUAAUGGCUGUAUUUGAUUCAAAAUACAGUCAGUGAACCCUCAGUAAAUGGAAUUAAAUGGUAUGUGUCUGAUUUGAGGGUGACAAUCCGCCAAUUGUUUCUUGUUUGAAUUACUACCUGCGUGGCUGGGCACAGCAGUAAUUGAAACUAUAAUGUUUCAUUCCUCUUUAGCUAUAAUUUAUCUGCAAAGUUCACUCUCUGCUGUUCUGUUCCC